rnacentral:rRNA from 1 species
AGUGAACGCUGGCGGUAGGCCUAACACAUGCAAGUCGAACGGCAGCACAGGAGAGCUUGCUCUCUGGGUGGCGAGUGGCGGACGGGUGAGGAAUACAUCGGAAUCUACUCUGUCGUGGGGGAUAACGUAGGGAAACUUACGCUAAUACCGCAUACGACCUACGGGUGAAAGCAGGGGAUCUUCGGACCUUGCGCGAUUGAAUGAGCCGAUGUCGGAUUAGCUAGUUGGCGGGGUAAAGGCCCACCAAGGCGACGAUCCGUAGCUGGUCUGAGAGGAUGGUCAGCCACACUGGAACUGAGACACGGUCCAGACUCCUACGGGAGGCAGCAGUGGAGAAUAUUGGACAAUGGGCGCAAGCCUGAUCCAGCCAUACCGCGUGGGUGAAGAAGGCCUUCGGGUUGUAAAGCCCUUUUGUUGGGAAAGAAAUCCAGCUGGCUAAUACCCGGUUGGGAUGACGGUACCCAAAGAAUAAGCACCGGCUAACUUCGUGCCAGCCGCCGCGGUAA